UUUAUAAUUGUGUCUUUUCUUCUAUUACCAAAAUCUCUUUCACUACCAACCUGAUAUUGAACAUGAUACAGAUGUCAAAAACCAGGAUUCCCAAUUCCCUAGGUAAAAAAAAUGACGUAAGCAAGACGACUAAACAACCGGGAGGGACCUUGGUCUUAUCGUUAUCUCGAGGGGGGGGGGGCAGCCACCCUUAUAACUGGCUUUCUUCAUGGUUCUCUAAAAAUUAAGGCUUUCCUUGCGAGACGAGAAUCUUCACCAUCUGAAUCAUGAAAAUCAACUCUGAUAGUGUUACCGCUAUGGUGGAACGCACCAUUAGGAGUGACUGACCUAGAUCAGGCUGGUUGCUGAUUCGUCCGUCCUUCUGGCAGGAGUUAGGUUAACGGACCCCUCCCUUAAUUCUAGUGGAAUGCACAGCAGGUGGAACGAAGGAUAUUUUGUGGAAGAAGACUUUGUGUCGGAAAUGCUGGCGAAAGUGGACAUAGGAGGAG
ensembl:lncRNA